GACGAACGCUGGCGGCGUGCCUAAUACAUGCAAGUCGAACGCAGUGGGGACGGGUGAGUAACACGUUGGUAACCUCCCAUCAGAGGGGAUAACACUUGGAAACAGGUGCUAAACCGAUACUGAUGGAUGGACCCGCGGUGCAUUAGCUAGUUGGUGGGGUAACGGCUCACCAAGGCCACGAUGCAUAGCCGACCUGAGAGGGGGAAGUGCAACACUUGGACUGAGACACGGCCCAGACUGCUACGGGAGGCAGCAGUGGGGAAUCGUCGGCAAUGUAAGAAAGUCUGACCGAGCAACGCCGCGUGAGUGAAGAAGGUUUUCGGAUCGUAAAACUCUGUUGUUAGAGAAGCGGUAUCUAAACAGAAAGCCCCGGCUAACUACGUGCCAGCAGCCGCGGUAAUUC
rnacentral:rRNA from 1 species